AGAGUUUGAUCAUGGCUCAGGACGAACGCUGGCGGCGUGCCUAACACAUGCAAGUCAUACGGAUACAGAAGUCAGAAGAGAGAGGUUGUUUGACUUCCGACUUCUAACUUCUGUUAUCAGUGGCGCACGGGUGAGUAACGCGUGGGAAUCUACCCGGUAGUGGGGGAUAACCCCUCGAAAGGGGGGCUAAUACCGCAUAAGUCCUACGGGGUAAAGAUGGUCUCUUAGAGGCUAUCGCUUCCGGAUGAGCCCGCGUCCUAUUAGCUAGUUGGUGAGGUAAUGGCUUACCAAGGCCACGAUGGGUAGCCGGUCUGAGAGGAUGAACGGCCACACUGGGACUGAGACACGGCCCAGACUCCUACGGGAGGCAGCAGUGGGGAAUUUUGCGCAAUGGGGGAAACCCUGACGCAGCAACGCCGCGUGGAUGAUGAAGGCCUUCGGGUUGUAAAGUCCUGUUCUGGGGGAAGAAACGGUAGGAAGCCAAUACCUUCCUGCCCUGACGGUACCCCAGCAGAAAGCUCCGGCCAAUUAUGUGCCAGCAGCCGCGGUAAUACAUAAGGAGCAAGCGUUGUCCGGAAUUAUUGGGCGUAAAGAGCUCGUAGACGGUUCGGAAAGUCAGCUGUGAAAUCACCGGGCUCAACCUGGUAGGGUCAGUUGAGACUUCCGAACUUGAGGGUAGAAGAGGAAAGUGGAAUUCCCGGUGUAGCGGUGAAAUGCGUAGAUGUCGGGAGGAACACCAGUGGCGAAGGCGGCUUUCUGGUCUACCCCUGACGUUGAGGAGCGAAAGCCAGGGGAGCAAGCGGGAUUAGAUACCCCGGUAGUCCUGGCCCUAAACGAUGGAUACUAGGUGUAGGAGGUAUCGACCCCUUCUGUGCCGCAGUUAACACAUUAAGUAUCCCGCCUGGGGAGUACGGUCGCAAGGCUGAACUCAAAUGAAUUGACGG
rnacentral:rRNA from 1 species